UGGGGAAUAUUGGACAAUGGGGGCAACCCUGGAUCCAGCAAUGCCGCGUGUGUGAAGAAGGCCUUCGGGUUGUAAAGCACUUUUAUCCGGAACGAAACGUGCGGGGUGAAUAGCCUCGUAAACUGACGGUACCGGAGGAAUAAGCACCGGCUAACUUCGUGCCAGCAGCCGCGGUAAUACGAAGGGUGCAAGCGUUACUCGGAAUUACUGGGCGUAAAGGGUGCGUAGGUGGUUUUUUAAGUCUGCUGUGAAAUCCCCGGGCUCAACCUGGGAAUGGCAGUGGAUACUGGAAAGCUGGAGUGCGGUAGAGGGUAGUGGAAUUCCCGGUGUAGCAGUGAAAUGCGUAGAGAUCGGGAGGAACACCAGUGGCGAAGGCGGCUACCUGGACCAGCACUGACACUGAGGCACGAAAGCGUGGGGAGCAAACAGGAUUAGAUACCCCUGGUAGUCCACGCCCUAAACGAUGCGAACUGGAUGUUGGGUGCAACUUGGCACUCAGUAUCGAAGCUAACGCGUUAAGUUCGCCGCCUGGGGAGUACGGUCGCAAGACUGA
rnacentral:rRNA from 1 species